CAGUAGCCAGGUAAUACGUAGGGGGCAAGCGUUGUCCGGAAUUAUUGGGCGUAAAGGGCUCGCAGGCGGUUUCUUAAGUCUGAUGUGAAAGCCCCCGGCUCAACCGGGGAGGGUCAUUGGAAACUGGGAAACUUGAGUGCAGAAGAGGAGAGUGGAAUUCCACGUGUAGCGGUGAAAUGCGUAGAGAUGUGGAGGAACACCAGUGGCGAAGGCGACUCUCUGGUCUGUAACUGACGCUGAGGAGCGAAAGCGUGGGGAGCGAACAGGAUUAGAUACCCCAGUAGUCCCUGUCUCUUAUACC
rnacentral:rRNA from 1 species